UGAGAUUUCCCAAGUAUGAAAACAUACUGACCUCUUACUAUGAAAGGUGAAAUUUAGGGUCAGAAAAGAGACAUCGAAUGAGAGGGGAAGAGAAGAGUAUGGGACAGGAGGUCUAUCAAUGCAGAGUCCUGUGGGGAAAGCAGCAAGCAGUUACAGGGGAUCUGGAUCCCGCUUUUUUCUCUCCCCCUGACUUCCCUGACCAGUUGUCUCUGAAAACACCUCAGCAUCUAAACAUAUCCUUUUGCUAGAGACAAACUGUCCCAUCACCUUUCUGCCUGGUUAAGGAUGAUGAACAAGGAGAUGGAAGUGCAGGGACAUCCAGCUUUUAAGCUUCUACCUGCGUUUUCUUCCCAAGAGUAAAUAAAGGAAUUGUGAGUUUGCACAAGCAAGACCAAUAAGUCUCUUGAAACAAGACUCAAGUCUUUUAAAUGAUUGGCAGGAGCUGCUUCCGUGAUGAAGGGGCCCAAACCAGGGUCAGUUGGGGAUGCAGCAAGAUUUUAAAUUCCCCCAGAAACUCACUGCUCCUCCUUUGUCUCUGUCAGAAUCCAAAAUUAAUUGUUGAUUUUUCUGUUCCCAAAUUAGAGAGAGAAAGGACAAGCCAAAGGUGCAUGAGUUACACAAUCUUCAUUUGGUCUACUUGAUGAAAACCCAAUGAGAGAAGAAUCCAUUCUAACUUCCUGUUCUAUAUUGGGAGAGGCGUAAACUGCCUGAUAACAAGGCUGAAUUCAUCAUUUGCAUAUUUUCACUGAUGAAUACUGAGUCUGUAAAAAGGCUCCAGAUAAUGGAUGGAGGGCAAUGAGAAGAUGCGUGUGAACUUUCUGUCACGAAGGGCAAUUUGCAGGAACUAAUCAUCUUACAAUGGUUGGUCAUAAGAAAGAAAUCCAUCAACCAAGCAUCCUGCAUAGCCCCCAUACUACAUGCUGGAGAGAAAAAUGAACAAGUAAAAUCCCCACUGCCCUUGAAGUAGUCACUGCUCAUCAAGGAAGACGUGUUAACAACAAUUAUGAAGGAAGACCCUAAAGCAAGUUUCAACCUGAGCCCAUAGGAAGACUGACAGAUAUCUAUCUACCCACUGUUAUGGACUGAAAAGUAUCCUC